rnacentral:rRNA from 1 species
GAUCCUGGCUCAGGAUGAACGCUAGCUACAGGCUUAACACAUGCAAGUCGAGGGGCAGCAUUUUUAUAGCAAUAUAAAAGAUGGCGACCGGCGCACGGGUGAGUAACACGUAUCCAACCUGCCGAUAACUCGGGGAUAACCCUUCGAAAGAAGGCCUAAUACCCGAUGGCAUAUCCCUUCCGCCUGGUUGGGAUAUUAAAGAACUUCGGUUAUCGACGGGGGUGCGUUCCAUUAGCUUGUUGGCGGGGUAACGGCCCACCAAGG